UUGCGUCCCAUUAGCUAGUUGGUGAGGUAACGGCCCACCAAGGCAAUGAUGGGUAGCCGGCCUGAGAGGGUGAACGGCCACAAGGGGGACUGAGACACGGCCCUUACUCCUACGGGAGGC
rnacentral:rRNA from 1 species